rnacentral:rRNA from 1 species
CCUACGGGUGGCAGCAGUGAGGAAUAUUGGUCAAUGGACGAGAGUCUGAACCAGCCAAGCAGCGUGAAGGAUGACUGCCCCAUGGGUUGUAAACUUCUUUUAUAUGGGAAUAAAACGUUCCACGUGUGGGAUUUUGUAUGUACCAUAUGAAUAAGGAUCGGCUAACUCCGUGCCAGCAGCCGCGGUAAUACGGAGGAUCCGAGCGUUAUCCGGAUUUAUUGGGUUUAAAGGGAGCGUAGGUGGAUUGUUAAGUCAGUUGUGAAAGUUUGCGGCUCAACCGUAAAAUUGCAGUUGAAACUGGCAGUCUUGAGAACAGUAGAGGUGGGCGGAAUGCGUGGUGUAGCGGUGAAAUGCUUAGAUAUCACGAAGAACUCCGAUUGCGAAGGCAGUUCACUGGACUGCAACUGACACUGAGGCUCGAAAGUGUGGGUAUCAAACAGGAUUAGAUACCCCAGUAGUC